rnacentral:pre_miRNA from 1 species
GCGGGUUAAAGUUGAACAGGUUGCCUCUCUCGUAUAUGUUGCAGAUUCUUCAUUUGUCUAGCUGAUCAACUAUAGUAUUGAUUUGUCUAGCUGAUCAACUAUAGUAUUGACUGUCAUGCAAAAGAAGGAUCUGCAACAUAGACAAGAAUAGGUGAUCGAUUUUUAUACACUCA